UUCCAUUUUACCAAAAAUAAAAAUAAAUUGAGUGAUGCCAAACCACGAAAGAAAUAAUGAAAACAUCUAUCCCCAUCCACUUGUUACAAUAAUUCUCUCCUACGGUUAGUGAUAUUCAAUAAUAUAAGUAAAAUGAAGACAAACAAGAAAGAAGAUAGCAGGUAACACCUGUACCGCUAUAACAGAGGGACAGCGUCCAGGUGUGUCCAGCUAUCUAGAGUACCAAAUUGAGACUCCAGGGGUCUCAAGGGUCUUAACCCCAAAGUAGUCUAUGCAAUAAUAUAAAUAAGACUUGCCAACUAUACUAAAUGAUAAAAAAGAUGUACUUCUGGUAAACAUUUCAAUAACGGGGUAAACAAUUUAUCAAUUAAACAAAGAAUUAAAGCCCCUCAAUUACAGUAAAUAAACUGCUGUUCUUCUAUAUUUUGGUUCGUACUAAUUAACAGUGGAGAUGACAAAAGUGCCAGUAGAAAUAAAUACAUAUCAAUGAAAAAGAAAAAUAUCCAAAAUGUUAUUAUAUUUUAUAAAAUAUAGGUAUCUAUAUUUUUUCUAGAUAUUCUAUUUAAAAUAUACAUUAUUUUUGCAGAUGCUUUGGAUGCUGAGAUAAAAUUGUUUUAUAAACUAGAAGAAAAAAAUACCUAAACUCCCCCCCCUCCCCUCCAAAACAAAUAGCAUGCCACAUAUGUAUAGAUUGGUACACAUAUUUCAUGUGUAAAAUUACAUUGUUUUUCACAUUGCAUUGUAGGAUUAUAUGUAGCUCUUACUGGGGCUGUAUUGAUUAACAGUGCAUUUACUAUUGAUUCUAAUUCUGUAUAUAUGUAUUUUUUUAUUUCUUUAAUUAAUAAUGUAGUAGGAAAGUAGAUAUAUAAGUGUCACUAAAAAGUGUUUCAGUUGCUUUUCCUAAUGCUGAGUGGGUCAGGCAGAAUUCCCUGUCAAAAUUAGUUUUACUUGGAAGAUGAUGCAGGAUAAUGUUCUCAAUUAUAGGAGCUACAUACAGGAUUUUAUGAUUUCAUAAAGAUAUUGGAUAUUCAAAAGAAAGAGAGAGAAAGUAAAAUGUAAUUGUUUUAUAGUCGUAAAAACUAAUUUCAGGUGAUACAAGGUACUCAUUAUAUAUAUAUA